GACGAACGCUGGCGGCGUGCCUACACAUGCAAGUCGAACGGAGAUACUUUGAUAGCAAUAUUAAGGUGUCUUAGUGGCGAACGGGUGAGUAACGCGUGAGCAACCUGCCUUUCAGAGGGGGACAACAGCUGGAAACGGCUGCUAAUACCGCAUAACGUAUACUGAGGACAUCCCCGGUAUACCAAAGAUUUAUCGCUGAAAGAUGGGCUCGCGUCUGAUUAGCUAGUUGGUAGGGUAAAGGCCUACCAAGGCGACGAUCAGUAGCCGGACUGAGAGGUUGAACGGCCACAUUGGGACUGAGAUACGGCCCAGACUCCUACGGGAGGCAGCAGUGGGGAAUAUUGGUCAAUGGGGGAAACCCUGAACCAGCAACGCCGCGUGAAGGAAGAAGGCCUUUGGGUUGUAAACUUCUUUGACAGGGGACGAAGAAUGACGGUACCCUGAAAACAAGCCACGGCUAACUACGUGCCAGCCGCCGCCGUAA
rnacentral:rRNA from 1 species